rnacentral:rRNA from 1 species
GGACCCGCACAAGUAGUGGAGCAUGUGGUUUAAUUCGAAGAUACGCGCAGAACCUUACCAACACUUGACAUGUUCGUCGCGACUCUAAGAGAUUAGAGUUUUCGGUUCGGCCGGACGAAACACAGGUGCUGCAUGGCUGUCGUCAGCUCGUGUCGUGAGAUGUUGGGUUAAGUCCCGCAACGAGCGCAACCCUCACUUUUAGUUGCCAUCAUUUAGUUGGGCACUCUGAAAGAACUGCCGGUGAUAAGCUGGAGGAAGGUGGGGAUGACGUCAAGUCCUCAUGGCCCUUACGUGUUGGGCUACACACGUGCUACAAUGGCAUCUACAAUAGGAAGCAAGAUGGCGACAUCAAGCAAAUCCUAAAAAGAUGCCUCAGUUCGGAUUGCACUCUGCAACUCGAGUGCAUGAAGCUGGAAUUACUAG